UAUCAUGGAAAACUAUCUAUUUGGAAGAGAUUAUACGUAACACUUCAUCGCAUCGAACACCUUUUUUUCCUGACACUGUUGGUAAAAUAUCGAUGGAAAUGGAAACGUAACUUUGACUUUUUGUAAAUAAUUUGUUGUCUCCUUUUCCACGAGUGCGGAUUAACUGUAUCUGGUAUUGUUCUCGAGAUCGAACACGUUUCGUUAAAAAGAUGAGUGUUCGACAGUUCUUUGGAAACAUGAUGGAUCAAUGAUUUAUCAUGCGUUCGAGAUAAAGUAUCGAUAGCAUCGUACGACCGCCGACAAGAUAUAAACAAUCGGUGAUAUGGCUACGAGAUAUAGGAUUAAAAGCGUAGAGGUGUAGGAUGAAAGCAGGCAGGCUAACUUCAGGUAUUAUUAAUCGAAGACACGUUAGUGUCUCCACUUACCAACUGGUUGUUCGCUAAAACAGGUAAAUGUAUGAACAGAACAGUAUAUAUACGUAUAGAGUACCGGCUACAUAAAGAAGGCAAACCAAAGGAAACGAAGACACAAUUUAAAACAAUUUCGUACUUCAAAAAGUAUAAUUUUUUCAAUUUAGCGUAGAUAAGUUACCUAUUCAUUUGAUGACUUAUCGUAUUUAGCUUACGUCUUGCUACGCCUGAUGGCGACACUAGCGCAUUACCGACUGAAAUAUUCACUGUGAUGUUAGUUCACCAGUUUGUCAACCAGGGAUAGUGCACUUUCCUUAGUUUAACUUGUGUAAACAAUUUGACAAGACUACACUAUAUAAAGAAAAGGUAAAGCUUCUCUGAGUUCUGCUGUUCCCUGGAAACAUCAUAACAUAGUUGUACUCCGUGUUAAACAAGAAUUAAAAAUGAUGGUGUUCCAUCUUGGUGAUUGCCAGUUAUAUGCUAAUAAAUGAAAAGCAUGGUUCGUCCUCGCUUUAGGCUUAAAGCUACCUGACAUGCAUAUUAAAACAUCGAAGUGCUAACGAUAGGGAAAGGUCUACGAGCAGUAUGUUAUUUCAUUUAUUUCACGGACGGAAUGUACAGGAAAAAAGACAUACCUGUUGUAUCGUUGUGUUAUCAGCUACAAGCAACUUCGAUAGUAUUUCCUCCAUAACUGGAUUUAUAUUAAUAACAAAAUACGUAUUUAAGAGUACUUCCAAACGAAGCAGGGGCCCAGAAGUAGCCGGCUGUC